AUUUUGUCUUUUUUGUAUUUCAUUUUUUUUGUUUGUUUGUUUUUCAUUUCAAUAGAGUGAAAUCCAUUGAGGGCAGAAAUUGUCUCAGUUUUGUGUAUGUAACUUUAGCACCUAUUAUAAAUGUUUGGCAGAUAGAAGGCAUUCAAAAAUAAUCAUUUAUUGAUCUAUUUGUUUAAUUUAUUUUUGCUUGUUAAUUGAUUGAUUGGCUAUUUCUUUUAGAAUUAUAUUCCUGUUAAUUUCAUAUGCAAAUUAUCUAUACCUGUAUCCAAGUCAUUGAUCAAAAUGUUAAACAUCAUAGAUUUAUGAGGUAUAUCAUAAGAAAAUUCCAUCCAAGUUAAUAUCAUAGGAUUAAUGGCUAUUCUUUCGGUCUGUCUAUCCAUUUAUCCAGGUCUAAAUUCAAUUAGAUGGCUGUUGGAACAAAUUGUCCUCCUUCAUACAUUCCACUUGGGGACAUCUUCAUAUGCUUGGAGUAGACACUCUCUUAAUCAAUGAUAAGCCACUCUCAACCUGGUUUGCCUGACUGCUAAGAAGGUUUUACUUGGGUUUGGCUGCUGUCCAUGUUUGGGGUAUUCUGGGAGGACCAGCAUCUUUGAUGCGAGGACUGCUCACCUACUUUUGUGUCCACCUGUCACAACUCUCACCCAUGGCUCCUAAAAGCUGUGGCAUGCACAAUCUUGGCAAUGAGGCUGAACCAGGUUGAAGAUGACUAACAGACCUCAAACCCAUCAGUGAUUUAGGGGGAUGUCUACUCCACGCAUGUGGAGAUUUCCCCCAGCAGAAUGGGUGAAUGAGAACUUAUCUCUACCAGGAUCAGCAGUGCCUGUUGCUUUCUCACAAACGCCUCAGAAAAUGUAGAAGCAGAGACGUGUCUCCUGCCUUUCCAGAAAGAUCAAACCAAGUUCCAGAAUCUCUAUCUGUCUCACCAGACAAUGAUAUUUGGUGGUUUCUAGAUAGUCUUUGUUUAAAAUUAAACUGAGAGCAUAGAGACAAUUCAAGGGUGGUGAACCUGAUUAGAAGGCAAACAGCAUAAAUAAUCACUGGCUGCUUUAACUGCAGCUGGAGGUCAGACUUCUGUCUCUUAGGUCUGUUCCUUCUCUAAUCAGGAAGCAAGGUGGGGACUGUAGCAAAUAUAACCCGGACUACUCUGGUCCACACUUAGCUGUAGGCCAGGUGUGAUACUUUUAGCUCCUCCUCAAGGGUUCUCUGCUGCCUUUAAGGGGGUUUGGGGAUAUCUCUGGUAGCUAGGCAGUGCAAUGGUUAGAGAGCUAAAUUUCAAGUCAGAAAGGCUCAUCUUCCUGAGUUCCAAUCUGACUUCCGACACUUACUAGUAGUGUUACCUGACCAAGUCAUUUAACCUGUCUCCUUUAGUUUCCUCAUCUGUAAAACAAGCUUGAGAAGGAAAUGGCAAACCACUCCAGUAUCCUUGACAAGAAAACCCCAAAUGGGGUCACAAAGAGUCAGACACAAAUGAGCAACAACAAAUUUUUUCUUAUCCUGCCAGAGUCCCCAAAGGGGGCCAUGGGAGCCAGUUUUUAAAAACCAGAUUUGACUCAAUUUUUCCAGUGGCACAGCUUCCCAUGUGACACUCAGAAUGGAAAAUAUAUUCUUUCCUGACUGUCUCUUCUCAGAAGCCUCCAAAGUCAAGUACAAAAAGAAGUGCCAAACUGAUGAAUUUUGUAAAAACACCUACUUGAAAGUCCAGUCUCCACAGCAGCAGCACUCAAAACAUGUUACCUAUGUAAAUUGUAUUGUGAAUGUCAUUAAAGGACAAUAAACAUUUCUGCUAUGAUUAUUAGAGCUGGAAA
ensembl:lncRNA